UACGUAGGGGGCAAGCGUUGUCCGGAUUUAUUGGGCGUAAAGAGCGUGUAGGCGGCUUGGUAGGUCCAUUGUGAAAACUCGAGGCUCAACCUCGAGACGCCGGUGGAAACCAUCAGGCUAGAGUCCGGAAGAGGAGAGUGGAAUUCCUGGUGUAGCGGUGAAAUGCGCAGAGUAUCAGGAAGAACACCCGUGGCUAAGGCGGCUCUCUAGUACGGUACUGACGCUGAGACGCGAAAGCGUGGGGAGCGAACAGG
rnacentral:rRNA from 1 species